CAAGGAGGAGCGGGGAUUAG
rnacentral:miRNA from 1 species